rnacentral:sRNA from 1 species
AAUUUGAAUUGGGGCGUGUCUAGAAAGAGAAGCCAUAGUCGGCGAGCACCGCUGGGGCAUCCCGCUCGGGUGCUGCUGCAGCCGGCAGAGAUGGUUGAGCUCAUGUUCCCGCUGUUGCUCCUCCUUCUGCCCUUCCUUAUGUAUAUGGCUGCGCCCCAAAUCAGGAAAAUGCUGUCCAGUGGGGCGUGUACAUCAACUGUUCAGCUUCCUGGGAAAGUAGUUGUGGUCACUGGAGCUAAUACAGGUAUCGGGAAGGAGACAGCCAAAGAGCUGGCUCAGAGAGGCAAGUUCACCUCCUUUCAAUUCCCUCCUAUUACUGCUGUUUUACCCCUCACAGUAAUGAUGAUUCAUUCUCAUUGUUUCUUCCCAGUUUUGGAAUUCAAGAACACCUAAGGAUUCCACUGAUUUGCUGAUCUGAAACUAGUACUAUGCUCUACAUAUAAUGGACCCUUAAUGAAUAUUAUUAAUUUAUUUUUCUUUACCUAUUUGCUAAUCAGAUACCUCUGUUGUGAAGAAAGGGUAAAAAUGUGUGUUUUUUAAAAAAAUGUUGGAAAUAACAUUAGAUUUAUAAUGCCAGCUCAAAACAGAGCUGACCAUUUCUCUUUCAUGUGUUGGCUGACAGGAGCUCGAGUAUAUUUAGCUUGCCGGGAUGUGGAAAAGGGGGAAUUGGUGGCCAAAGAGAUCCAGACCACAACAGGGAACCAGCAGGUGUUGGUGCGGAAACUGGACCUGUCUGAUACUAAGUCUAUUCGAGCUUUUGCUAAGGGCUUCUUAGCCGGUAAGUGUAGAACUAGAGAGAC